CCCCUUAGAUGUUCUGGGCCGCACGCGCGCUACACUGAUGCAUUCAACGAGUCUAAAACCUGGUCUGAUAGGGCUGGGUAAUCUUUUGAAUGUGCAUCGUGAUUGGGAUAGAUGAUUGCAAUUCUUCAUCUUCAACGAGGAAUGCCUAGUAAACGCAAGUCAUCAGCUUGCAUUGAUUACGUCCCUGCCCUUUGUACACACCGCCCGUCGCUCCUACCGAUUGAAUGUUCCGAUGAAUACCAUGGACUGAGAGUAUGAAUGGGUUCGCCUAUUUCUGCUUCUCGGGAAGUGGAGUAAAUCUUAACAUUUAGAGGAAGGAGAAGUCGUAACA
rnacentral:rRNA from 1 species